UGGCAGACUAUACUAUACUAUUCCAGAGUCUGGGGGCAUAGUAACUAAAGGCUGCCUCUCCAUGCCUCUUGGUCCCCCUCAGGUUCUCUAGCCGGCUAGUCCAGAGUCUGGGGGCAUAGUAACUAAAGGCUGCCUCUCCAUGCCUCUUGGUCCCCCUCAGGUUCUCUAGCCGGCUAGUCCAGAGUCUGGGGGCAUAGUAACUAAAGGCUGCCUCUCCAUGCCUCUUGGUCCCCCUCAGGUUCUCUAGCCGGCUAGUCCAGAGUCUGGGGGCAUAGUAACUAAAGGCUGCCUCUCCAUGCCUCUUGGUCCCCCUCAGGUUCUCUGGCAGACUAUUCCAGAGUCUGGCGGUAUAGUAACUAAAGGCUGGCGGUAUAGUAACUAAAGGCUGGCGGUAUAGUAACUAAAGGCUGGCGGUAUAGUAACUAAAGGCUGGCGGUAUAGUAACUAAAGGGUGCUUGUCUCUUCAGACAGGAACUGCUUUUUU
ensembl:lncRNA